GACGAACGCUGGCGGCGUGCUUAACACAUGCAAGUCGAACGGAAAGGCCUCUUUCGGGGGGUACUCGAGUGGCGAACGGGUGAGUAACACGUGAGUAACCUGCCCUUGACUUUGGGAUAACUUCAGGAAACUGGGGCUAAUACCGGAUAGGAGCUCCUGCUGCAUGGUGGGGGUUGGAAAGUUUCGGCGGUUGGGGAUGGACUCGCGGCUUAUCAGCUUGUUGGUGGGGUAGUGGCUUACCAAGGCUUUGACGGGUAGCCGGCCUGAGAGGGUGACCGGCCACAGUGGGACUGAGAUACGGCCCAGACUCCUACGGGAGGCAGCAGUGGGGAAUAUUGCACAAUGGGUGGAAGCCUGAUGCAGCAACGUCGUGUGCGGGAUGACGGCCUUCGGGUUGUAAACCGCUUUCGCUCAUGACGAAGCUUUGUGUGACGGUAGUGGGUAAAGAAGCACCGGCUAACUACGUG
rnacentral:rRNA from 1 species